UACGAAGGCCUCAAGCGUUAUCCGGAUUUAUUGGGCGUAAAGCGUUCAACGGCGGUUUGUUAAGUCAGUGGUUAAAUCUUGGGGCUCAACCUCAAGGCCGCCACUGAAACUGGCAAACUCGAGGGCAGGAGAGGCAGACGGAAUUACCGGUGUAGUAGUAAAAUGCGUUAAUAUCGGUAAGAACACCAAUUGCGAAGGCAGUCUGCUAGAAUGCAUCUGACGCUCAAGAACGAAAGCGUGGGGAGCGAAUGGG
rnacentral:rRNA from 1 species